rnacentral:piRNA from 1 species
UAGUAGAAGUUGAGACAAAGGCCAUUGGAUG